GAACUGCAGGUCCCAGACUUCCUGGAGCAGUGAGGUUCCUUAGUGCAUGUUUAGUAACUUGUAAGUCAUUCUGCUCAAGGGGCUGAUGAAAUACCAGCCUCUUGCAGACUUCCUUUGGCUAAAGUAUUAGCUCACCACAGGACUCGGCACCCCCCGGGGGGGGGACGGAGAAGGGGAGUACUGGUCAAUAAUGCAUGAGCGCAAAAAGCCCUGGAAAUGUGCUUACAGCCAACUUGAAAUUCGAGAGAGGAUGAGUCAUUUGACAGCUAUCAGAUAAAAUAGCUCUUUAUCAGCGCUCACCCUCCGCAGAGACUUUCCACCACACAAGCUGCCUUUCCUCCCACCGGCCCUUCCACCUUCUAGGGAGAUUUUGUACUUAGAAAUCUUCAACAGAAAGAGUAUAGCUCUUCUCUUUAAAAAGGAGUAAAACAUACAAGCAUAAGUCAAACUUCUCACGAUUAUGAGGCACUGGUGACUUUUCUCCUGCUGCGGCGUAACUCACUCCUGAGCCAAGAUGUGGAGGCUGGUGGCUCUGUACACAGCAAAAUGCUUCCUGUUUUCUUCUGGCAGAAACUGGCAAAAGCUCCCUCCUGUCACUGCCUGCCAGUGGCUGAUAGCCUGGGCAGAGGAGUCAGCAAAAUCCAUGCUGCAGAAACUGAGUUACAUGCAGUCUACUGACGCCGACCCUGGAGUAAACAGCGCUACACACAGCGCCCCUGCCUCCCUGCUCCCCGCUCCCUUUGGGAGCAGCCUGUGUCUGCAGGAGCGGGGGAAACAGCUUGCUUCACUUCCUACAACUCUCGGUCACCAAAACUGUUCU